AUGCUCAACUUCGCCUCCACUGUCCUGUCCCCAAGUCACGUGGCUUCUCUGCACAUUCCAGCUGACCUCAAGCAGUGUCCACCUUUCUCUGUCCAGCUGAUGCUGGAGAGGGAAGAGGGAAGAAACGGGCGCCGGCGCGCGGCGCGUUUUUGCGCGGGACUCCGGGGCUGUGACGCCGAGACCCAGUACUUCGGCUCUGGCACCCGGCUGCUGGUUCUAGAGGAUCUGGAAGAUGUGGAACCACCCCGGGUGGCUGUGUUUGAACCCUCUGACGCCGAGAUCGCUGAGACCCAGAAGGCCACGCUCGUGUGCCUGGCCACGGGCUUCUACCCCGACCACGUGGAGCUGAGCUGGUGGGUGAACGGCAAGGAGGUGCAGAGCGGAGUCAGCACGGACCCCCAGCCCUACAAGGAGUAUCCUCACAAUAAUAAAUCCACCUACUGUCUGAGCAGCCGGCUGAGGGUCUCUGCCGCCUACUGGCACGAUCCUCGCAACCACUUCCGCUGCCAAGUCCACUUCUAUGGGCUCAGCGAGGAGGAUAAGUGGGACUCUGAAAAGCCCAAACCUGUCACCCAGAACGUCAGUGCUGAAGCCUGGGGCCGAGCAGACUGUGGCCUCACCGCAAUGUCGUAUCAGCAGGGGGUCCUGUCUGCCACCCUCCUCUAUGAGAUCCUGCUGGGCAAGGCCGCGCUGUAUGCUCUGCUGGUCAGCGCCCUGGUGCUGAUGGCGAUGGUCAAAAAGAAGGAUUCCUGAGACCAGCGACAAAAGGAUGACUCCUGUCACUCUUCAACUUCACCUCAGGUUCUCUUCGCCUUUCCAUCUGUCCUCCUGAAGAGUUGUCCUCUCCCCACCCUAGACCCCCUUCCUACAUGGGUGUCUGUUAAUCACUUUGCUUCCCUGCUGUCUGAGUUCCUCAACCCCGAAGCUUAUAAAUAGACUAAAUCAAUAAAAACGUCCUGCUGGGCCCACUGUGUCCAUGAAGUGUCAAAGGGUUUCUUCCCUCCACUGACUGACCUUCAUUCUGCUUUGAGGUCACCUCCAGUCCCUCCACUGUUUGAAGAACUGACCCUCCUUUCUCACCAAUGUUGCUUCCUCCUGUUCUUCCAGACAAAAUAUGGACCCCAGGGUCCUUAACCAGUAAUUCCUGUCCCCAGCCUGCAGGGCUUGUAUGAGGGGUAAGGCGCUGGGCCCUAGAAACCAGAGUUAGGACACACAAGGAUGAAAAAAGCCCACCCAGCACACUCAGAGGGUGGGGAAGACCUUGGAAUUAGAAUACCUGGUCAUUUGUCAAUGACACUUAUCUCAAAAGUCUCAUGCAUUUUGUUUUCUUCCUGAAUUUUUCAAAUAAAAAAUUUAUUGUAAUUAGGGCAAUAUGAUCACAACAGUGUUAAUGUUUUUGGUUUUGACGUACAAAGUUAUUGCAUCUUAACCAUCACCAAAGUGUCCAAGAAAAUCCCACCUCUGUCCUUAUGUCACCUCUAGUCUACAUCUUCCACCAACCUCCUCCUGUUCCCACUGCUUGGUUGUCUCAGUUUUGUCCUCAAAGGCUAAAACAAGGGUCUGUCAUUAUUCUACACAGCCCAUUCCCUUGUUUUGUUUCUCUACAUAACACUAGUGAGUUGAUCCAAUGUUUGUCCUCCCUCCCUCUGACUUACCACUUUACAUGAUACCUUUCUGUUCUAUGCAACUUACAGUGAACUCCAAGAUUUUUUUAGAAAAUACUUUUAUUUAAAAAGUCUAUUUAGGGCUGGAGUGAUAGCAUAGCAGUAGGGCGAUAGCCUUGCAUGCGGCCGACCCGAGUUCGUUUCCCAGCAUCCCAUAUGGUCCCCUGAGCACUGCCAGGGGUAAUUCCUGAGUGCAGAGCCAGGAGUGUCCCCUGUGCAUCGCUGGGUGUGACCCAAAAAGCAAAACAACAACAACAACAACAAAAAAAAAAAAACUCAAUUUAAAUUUUUGUCUUGAUGGGGGUUUUAUGAUUAAAAUACUAAUAAUAAUGGUUUCCUUUGUACAUAACUCCAACAUCACAUCCAUCACCAGUGUACCCACUUCCCUUCCCUGAGGAUCCCAGUGCCCCACCUCUUUUGGUCCCUCCCCCCAUACUCAGUUGUUUGGAUCAUGAACUGCAAGAUUUCAUC